AAGUCGUAACAAGGUUUCCGUAGGUGAACCUGCGGAAGGAUCAUUAUUGUUUAGGGGGCCUCACCGCCCCUUUGCAACGAUGCAACCCUUUGUUCUUGCCGUAACGUUUGUUUCCCUCGGUGGCUCCGGGCGCCAGAUGGGACCUUGAACCCUUUGCAAUCGAGUUAUUUCAGUCGCAGAAAUUAUCAAAACUUUCAACAAUGGAUCUCUUGGCUCUG
rnacentral:misc_RNA from 1 species